ensembl:lncRNA
UUUUUUUUUUUUUAAUAUACACAAACCAGUUAAAACCAUUAAUAUUGUUGUACAACAUGUUUAAAAUCUGUAAACUAUAGAAAAUACUAGUGAAAGUGAACUCUUUCUUCUGUCACUUCAAAAUAAAGCGUGCAUGGCAUUAACGACGCAAAGAACACAAUGAACGGAAAGAGGAACUUGUAUAGUGGCCCAAAGUGAAAAUGUGAAAAGAAAAAGAAAGAGUAGCCAUACUUAUGGUGAUGUUAUGAGUGAAGAUGCCAUUUUCUGCUUUCACAGCCAUGUAAAGAAUGAGAAGCAUGUUCAGCCAUACUGAGAUGUUACUUACCUGGCAGUACUUACCUUGAAUCACAGCAGUGACAGGAAACCCUGGGGCUGAGAGAGGAUCCUCUUGGACCAGAGCGGCUUUACCAGGAUCUCUGGGACCAGGGAGGAUGAGAGAGGAGCUCUGGGACUGAAGCAGCCUUUGACACCAGCUUCAUUUCCAUCAUGAUAGGAACCUUUGUGGUGGACAUGAUAUGAGCAUCCGUGUGACCCAGACAAUCAUGUCAGGAACCUCUGGGAAGCUUUACAACUGGAGCCGCCAUGAGCUCUGGAACCGUAGAGGAUUCUGGGGCAGCAGCGGCAGCAGAAACCUCCAGCUCUGGGACCAGAGUGGCUCUGAUAAAGAACCCUGUUGAGUGACAACUGUGGUGCCUGUGACGCUGACCUCUCUGACCUCAGCAGGUCCUGGAGCAGCAGCGUUUAGAGCUGCAUUCACAGAGAUUUCUGGAGCCGCCCUGACAGAAUCUUUGGGACACAGUAUGGCGGGAACUUUUGGAGCAACAUUGUGAG